rnacentral:rRNA from 1 species
UUUCAAGGACUAAGCCAUGCAUAUGCGCGGCACACUUUAAUAGACAGACUGGCUUCGGCCUUUCUCGAGAGGGAUUCUGUGGACGGCUCAUUAUUGCGAUUGCUAUACCCUCAGAAGGUUGUCUUAAUGACAUUCUGCGGAUAUACGUGGUAACCCACCGUUAAUACGUGCAUGAAAGCGUCAAACGUGCGUGUGUCUCUUGUCUGCUUUAAUGAGUCCUGGUACAUAUUAAAAAGGAUAAGACACGCGCACGUAUUACCAGACGCAUCCUUCGAAACCGUUUGGAAACAAAGGUCGCCCUAGGGCAAACUAAGUCUAAGAGAUUGUUCGUGAACUUCUGGUAAUACAAGGUUCUGUUGAGAACCAAUAGAGGAUUUGCAGUCGACCCUAUCAGUUCUUGAAGGCAAGGUCUUGGCCUGCCUUGACCGUGACGGGUCACGGAGAAUUAGGGUUUGAUUCCGGAGAGGAAGCCUGAGACACGGCUACCAUGUCCACGGUCAGCAGCAGGCACAUAAAUUGCCCCAUACUGAACUAUCGGAACAGUGAGGCAGCGACGGAACAUACCACGGGGCGUGGGCUUCCAAACCCACCUCCGGCGGAAUGGUGAGAAGUUGAAACUUUCUCAGAGGAUCUACUAGAGAGCAAGUCUGGUGCCAGCAGUCGCGGUAACUCCAGCUCUGGGAGCGUAUACUUACGUUGCUGCUCUUAGAGGACCCUCAGUUGGAUGCUGAAAAGAGGGAAAACUCUUGAGGGUGGCGCAAGCUAAUCCUCACCUGUUUGGUUUGGGGCUCGAAAGGCCUUCAGACUUAACUCUCUUUAAAAGACAUAAGCCCGAGAGCACAACAGCCAAUAUGAAAGGGUUUCGGCCCAGUUUACCCAUUCGGAUGAAGCAGAGCUUUCGUUGGCUAAGCCAACAAUUGAAAGUAAGGCACUGCCUCGGCAAGCUGAUUCGUACGUAAAACAUAGUUACUCAAAGCAUGUUAGAAGGUCCUCCUUAGCACUGACGCAACCCGAGAAGGGUAGCUGGUAAUAUGGAGGCAGGUUUCACUGAGAUUCCCUAGCCCUUAUUCUGCAACUGUGUGUCCUGUAUGAAAUCCCACGUUCAAUAACGGGACAAACAAAGUCUUAUUGCGUGUUUUGGACUCUAGUCUCUAGCCGCGGUUCAUUGAUUCCAGGUUCGCCUGUGAACGUGUUCCGUUGGUAUUGCCAAAGUGACCGGAUACGUUUGUCUGUACCUUCAGGGAAGCGGUGAUAUGCGAUGAUCCUGAAGGGACAACCUAACGCGAAAGCAGAUCAACUGAACGGCUUAAUCUAUCAUGAGUCUGAGCAUGAGGAUCGAAAAGGAUCAGAUACCCUUGUAGUUCGUUUUGCCCUAAACGAUAGUGCCCAUUGACUGAUCCGGACGACGCCGAUGAGGCCCAGGUCGGUCGAACUAGAGUGAAAACUUUGAGGUUCUGCCUCGAGGGGGAAGUAUAGUCGCAAGUCUGAAACUUAAAGGAAUUGACGGACUCGCACCACAAGCAGUGGAUUUUGCGGCUUAAUUUGACUCAACGCCCAAAAACUUACUUGGACAGAACACACUGGUGCAUGACGGAUUGAUGAUCCUUCAUAAGUGUGUGAAGGGUGGUGCAUGGCCACACGAAGUUCGUGGGAUGACCUGUCUGCUUAAUUGCGAUAACGGGCAAGACCCUCACUGUAUGGUAAGAGUUUCAGUGUUAAAACCGAAGGCUUGCUUUGAUACAGGUUCGCCUGUGUCUGGGCUUUUUCUGCGGAAACUGUAAAGCGUCUAACUUACAGAAUGCGGUAAAUUCCGAUAAGGACCUGUCAACUGGGGGACUAAUGUAGGUCUGUGAUGCCCCCAGAUGCCCAAGGCCACACGCGCGAUACAAUGGAGUUGGCAGCAAGUUUCUUGACUGAGAUGUCGGGGUAUUCUUGAAACGGUUUACAUGGAAGGGAUUGCCGGCAGUACACGCCGACAUGAACGAGGAAUUGCUUGUAAGUACCUGUGAUCAGCAGGUGCUGAUUAUGUCCCUGCGAGUUGUACACACCGCCCGUCGUUGCUAUCGAUGGUGCAGCCGAAGAAAGCUUUACCUGCAGUCUAGAUCUGUCUAGGCUGAACGUUUAGUUUGAUUCGGAAACACUAGAGGAAGCAAAAGUCGUAACAAGGUUGCUGUAGGUGAA